GGGAGAAGAACCAUAGCUCAGUGGUAGAGUUUCUGCCUUGCAUGCAGAAGACCCCAGGUUCUGUGUCCAGGGCAGCUGUCUACCA